rnacentral:lncRNA from 1 species
UGGUAUUUCAGAGUUCUCAAUCGACAGUCAACCUCCGACACAUAGUCGGCCGACUUAUUCGAUAUAUCAUAACUGUCAUGGAUGGUUAUCCCUCAAAUAUUGCGGCGUAAUCCAUGAGAAAUAAUAAUCCACUAUGAGAUUACAGCCCAAUGAUUCUACGCCAUACAAUGCGGAACUAUAUCCGAUGGUUACAACUAUCUUUUCUAUAAAAAGAGAGUAAGGCAAC